UACGUAGGGCGCAAGCGUUGUCCGGAAUUAUUGGGCGUAAAGAGCUCGUAGGCGGCUUGUCACGUCGAUUGUGAAAGCCCGAGGCUUAACCUCGGGUCUGCAGUCGAUACGGGCUAGCUAGAGUGUGGUAGGGGAGAUCGGAAUUCCUGGUGUAGCGGUGAAAUGCGCAGAUAUCGGGAAGAACACCCGUGGCGAAGGCGGCACUCUGGGACGGUACUGACGCUGAGACGCGAAAGCGUGGGGAGCGAACAGG
rnacentral:rRNA from 1 species